GACGUAGGGCGCGAGCGUUGUCCGGAUUUAUUGGGCGUAAAGAGCUCGUAGGCGGUUUGUCGCGUCGUCCGUGAAAACUCACAGCUUAACUGUGAGCUUGCGGUCGAUACGGGCAGGCUAGAGUUCGGUAGGGGAGACUGGAAUUCCUGGUGUAGCGGUGAAAUGCGCAGAUAUCAGGAGGAACACCGAUGGCGAAGGCAGGUCUCUGGGCCGAUACUGACGCUGAGGAGCGAAAGCGUGGGGAGCGAACAGG
rnacentral:rRNA from 1 species